rnacentral:rRNA from 1 species
CAAUAGCGUAUAUUAAAGUUGUUGCAGUUAGAACGCUCGUAGUCGGAUUUCGGGGCGGGCCGACCGGUCUGCCGAUGGGUACGCACUGGUCGGCGCGUCCUUCCUUCCGGAGACCGUGCCUACUCUUAACUGAGCGGGGGCGGGAGACGGAACGUUUACUUUGAAAAAAUCAGAGUGUUUCAAGCAGGCAGUGCGCUCUUGCAUGGAUUAGCAUGGGAUAAUGAAAUAGGACUUUGGUGCUAUUUUGUUGGUUUCGAACACCGAAGUAAUGAUUAAAAGGGACAGUCAGGGGCACCCGUAUUCCGCCGAGAGAGGUGAAAUUCUCAGACCAGCGGAAGACGAACCACUGCGAAAGCAUUUGCCAGGGAUGUUUUCACUG